AUAAUACUCCCUUCGUCCGGAAUUACUUGUCAUCAAAAUGGAUGUGUCUAGAACUAAAAUACAUCUAGAUACAUCCGUUUCAAUGACAAGUAUUCUCGGACGGAGGGAGUAGUAG
rfam:Triticum aestivum genome assembly, contig: Triticum_aestivum_CS42_TGACv1_scaffold_129482_2BL